rnacentral:lncRNA from 1 species
CUCCAUCAGGCGCCGAGCUCAAGGCACAUGCGCACUCGGCUAGCCGGGCGUUUCGCACCGGGCUCCCUCGAACCCUUCCGGUCCGCUACCUGGGUGCCUUGGGCGAAAAUGCACAAGUGGGAGUGAAACCGCAUCUUCACAAUGAAAAAGAAAUCACAGCCACUUAGACAUAGAAAAAACUGACAAACCARUGUCUAAACGUAUGUGAAAGCGAAGUGAGUCGUAUCAGGCUGGCACUUCUUCGCCAGUUCACAAGGCUAAUCCGGUAGCCCACCUUUGUACCUCACCAGCAAUAUGUAGGCGUUUUUUCUUGGAGUCACCUGGUCCUCAGACUCUGGCUGCAGCUACCAGUGCAUCAAACCAGAAUCCAGACUGUGGCGCCCGCAUGGAUACAUGGGGAUGCACUUCCAUUUUCUUCUGCUAAGCACUGAUGUCUACCAAAAAUACUGAUACUGAUAYUUCUCAUGAUUAUCGAUGUCAAGAGAAUACAAGCAGUGCGUCUUCAGUUUCCAC